rnacentral:rRNA from 1 species
UUAAGCGACUAAGCGUACACGGUGGAUGCCCUGGCAGUCAGAGGCGAUGAAGGACGUGCUAAUCUGCGAAAAGCGUCGGUAAGGUGAUAUGAACCGUUAUAACCGGCGAUGUCCGAAUGGGGAAACCCAGUGCAAUUCGUUGCACUAUCGUUAACUGAAUACAUAGGUUAACGAGGCGAACCGGGGGAACUGAAACAUCUAAGUACCCCGAGGAAAAGAAAUCAACCGAGAUUCCCCCAGUAGCGGCGAGCGAACGGGGAGCAGCCCAGAGUCUGAAUCAGCUUGUGUGUUAGUGGAACGGUCUGGAAAGUCCGACGGUACAGGGUGAUAGUCCCGUACACCAAAAUGCACAGGUUGUGAACUCGAAGAGUAGGGCGGGACACGUGGUAUCCUGUCUGAAUAUGGGGGGACCAUCCUCCAAGGCUAAAUACUCCUGACUGACCGAUAGUGAACCAGUACCGUGAGGGAAAGGCGAAAAGAACCCCGGCGAGGGGAGUGAAAAAGAACCUGAAACCGUGUACGUACAAGCAGUGGGAGCACCUUCGGGUGUGACUGCGUACCUUUUGUAUAAUGGGUCAGCGACUUAUAUUCUGUAGCAAGGUUAACCGUAUAGGGGAGCCGCAGGGAAACCGAGUCUUAACUGGGCGUUAAGUUGCAGGGUAUAGACCCGAAACCCGGUGAUCUAGCCAUGGGCAGGUUGAAGGUUGGGUAACACUAACUGGAGGACCGAACCGACUAAUGUUGAAAAAUUAGCGGAUGACUUGUGGCUGGGGGUGAAAGGCCAAUCAAACCGGGAGAUAGCUGGUUCUCCCCGAAAGCUAUUUAGGUAGCGCCUCGUGAACUCAUCUUCGGGGGUAGAGCACUGUUUCGGCUAGGGGGUCAUCCCGACUUACCAACCCGAUGCAAACUACGAAUACCGAAGAAUGUUAUCACGGGAGACACACGGCGGGUGCUAACGUCCGUCGUGAAGAGGGAAACAACCCAGACCGCCAGCUAAGGUCCCAAAGUCAUGGUUAAGUGGGAAACGAUGUGGGAAGGCACAGACAGCCAGGAUGUUGGCUUAGAAGCAGCCAUCAUUUAAAGAAAGCGUAAUAGCUCACUGGUCAAGUCGGCCUGCGCGGAAGAUGUAACGGGGCUAAACCAUGCACCGAAGCUGCGGCAGCGACACUAUGUGUUGUUGGGUAGGGGAGCGUUCUGUAAGCCUGCGAAGGUGUGCUGUGAGGCAUGCUGGAGGUAUCAGAAGUGCGAAUGCUGACAUAAGUAACGAUAAAGCGGGUGAAAAGCCCGCUCGCCGGAAGACCAAGGGUUCCUGUCCAACGUUAAUCGGGGCAGGGUGAGUCGACCCCUAAGGCGAGGCCGAGAGGCGUAGUCGAUGGGAAACAGGUUAAUAUUCCUGUACUUGGUGUUACUGCGAAGGGGGGACGGAGAAGGCUAUGUUAGCCGGGCGACGGUUGUCCCGGUUUAAGCAUGUAGGCUGGUUAUCCAGGCAAAUCCGGAUAAUCAAGGCUGAGGUGUGAUGACGAGGCACUACGGUGCUGAAGUAACAAAUGCCCUGCUUCCAGGAAAAGCCUCUAAGCAUCAGGUAACAUCAAAUCGUACCCCAAACCGACACAGGUGGUCAGGUAGAGAAUACCAAGGCGCUUGAGAGAACUCGGGUGAAGGAACUAGGCAAAAUGGUGCCGUAACUUCGGGAGAAGGCACGCUGGUGUGUAGGUGAAGUCCCUGCGGAUGGAGCUGAGACCAGUCGAAGAUACCAGCUGGCUGCAACUGUUUAUUAAAAACACAGCACUGUGCAAACACGAAAGUGGACGUAUACGGUGUGACGCCUGCCCGGUGCCGGAAGGUUAAUUGAUGGGGUUAUCCGUAAGGAGAAGCUCUUGAUCGAAGCCCCGGUAAACGGCGGCCGUAACUAUAACGGUCCUAAGGUAGCGAAAUUCCUUGUCGGGUAAGUUCCGACCUGCACGAAUGGCGUAAUGAUGGCCAGGCUGUCUCCACCCGAGACUCAGUGAAAUUGAACUCGCUGUGAAGAUGCAGUGUACCCGCGGCAAGACGGAAAGACCCCGUGAACCUUUACUAUAGCUUGACACUGAACAUUGAGCCUUGAUGUGUAGGAUAGGUGGGAGGCUUUGAAGCGUGGACGCCAGUCUGCGUGGAGCCAACCUUGAAAUACCACCCUUUAAUGUUUGAUGUUCUAACGUUGGCCCCUGACCGGGGUUGCGGACAGUGUCUGGUGGGUAGUUUGACUGGGGCGGUCUCCUCCCAAAGCGUAACGGAGGAGCACGAAGGUUAGCUAAUCCUGGUCGGACAUCAGGAGGUUAGUGCAAUGGCAUAAGCUAGCUUGACUGCGAGCGUGACGGCGCGAGCAGGUGCGAAAGCAGGUCAUAGUGAUCCGGUGGUUCUGAAUGGAAGGGCCAUCGCUCAACGGAUAAAAGGUACUCCGGGGAUAACAGGCUGAUACCGCCCAAGAGUUCAUAUCGACGGCGGUGUUUGGCACCUCGAUGUCGGCUCAUCACAUCCUGGGGCUGAAGUAGGUCCCAAGGGUAUGGCUGUUCGCCAUUUAAAGUGGUACGCGAGCUGGGUUUAGAACGUCGUGAGACAGUUCGGUCCCUAUCUGCCGUGGGCGCUGGAGAAUUGAGGGGGGCUGCUCCUAGUACGAGAGGACCGGAGUGGACGCAUCACUGGUGUUCGGGUUGUCAUGCCAAUGGCACUGCCCGGUAGCUAAAUGCGGAAGAGAUAAGUGCUGAAAGCAUCUAAGCACGAAACUUGCCCCGAGAUGAGUUCUCCCUGAGACUUUAAGUCUCCUGAAGGAACGUUAAAGACGAUGACGUUGAUAGGCCGGGUGUGUAAGCGCAGCGAUGCGUUGAGCUAACCGGUACUAAUGAACCGUGAGGCUUAACCU